rnacentral:rRNA from 1 species
CCUACGGGUGGCAGCAGUGGGGGAUAUUGCACAAUGGGGGCAACCCUGAUGCAGCGACGCCGCGUGAGUGAAGCAGUAUUUCGGUAUGUAAAGCUCUAUCAGCAGGGAAGAAAAUGCCAGUACCUGUCCAAGAAGUCCCGGCUAACUACGUGCCAGCAGCCGCGGUAAUCCGUAGGGGGCACGCGUUAUCCGGAUUUACUGGGUGUAAAGGGAGCGUAGACGGUUAUGUAAGUCUGGAGUGAAAGCCCGGGGCUGAACCCCGGGACUGCUUUGGAAACUGUGUAACUGGAGUACAGGAGGGGCAGGCGGAAGUCCUGGUGUAGCGGUGAAAUGCGUAGAUAUCAGGAGGAACACCGGCGGCGAAGGCGGCCUGCUGGACUGAAACUGACGUUGAGGCUCGAAAGCGUGGGGAGCAAACAGGAUUAGAUACCCGUGUAGUC